rfam:Rattus norvegicus chromosome 4, whole genome shotgun sequence.
GGGGAUUUAGCUCAGUGGUAGAGCGCUUGCCUAGCAUGUGCAAGGCCCUGGGUUCGGUCCCCAGCUCCG